UUCGCCCUUAGAGUUUGCUCUUGGGUCAGGACGAACGCUGGCGGCGUGCUUAACACAUGCAAGUCGAGCGGGGAUCUUGGUGGAAGUUCUUCGGAACGGAAGGUAAGAUUCUAGCGGCGGACGGGUGAGUAACGCGUGAGCAAUCUGUCCCAGACAGGGGGAUAACACUUGGAAACAGGUGCUAAUACCGCAUAAGACCACGGUAUCGCAUGGUACUGAGGUAAAAGAAAUUCGGUUUGGGGUGAGCUCGCGUCCGAUUAGCUAGUUGGUGAGGUAACGGCCCACCAAGGCGACGAUCGGUAGCCGACCUGAGAGGGUGAUCGGCCACAUUGGAACUGAGACACGGUCCAAACUCCUACGGGAGGCAGCAGUGGGGAAUAUUGGGCAAUGGGGGAAACCCUGACCCAGCAACGCCGCGUGAAGGAAGAAGGCUUUCGGGUUGUAAACUUCUUUUAGCAGGGACGAAGGACGUGACGGUACCUGCAGAAAAAGCGACGGCUAACUACGUGCCAGCAGCCGCGGUAAUACGUAGGUCGCAAGCGUUGUCCGGAUUUACUGGGUGUAAAGGGCGUGUAGGCGGAGAUGCAAGUCAGGUGUGAAAUCCCGGGGCUCAACCCCGGAACUGCACUUGAAACUGUAUCCCUUGAGUAUCGGAGAGGCAAGCGGAAUUCCUAGUGUAGCGGUGAAAUGCGUAGAUAUUAGGAGGAACACCAGUGGCGAAGGCGGCUUGCUGGACGACAACUGACGCUGAGGCGCGAAAGCGUGGGGAGCAAACAGGAUUAGAUACCCUGGUAGUCCACGCUGUAAACGAUGAAUAGUAGGUGUGGGAGGACUGACCCCUUCCGUGCCGCAGUUAACACAAUAAGUAUUCCACCUGGGGAGUACGACCGCAAGGUUGAAACUCAAAGGAAUAGACGGGGGCCCGUACAAGCAGUGGAUUAUGUGGUUUAAUUCGACGCAACGCGAAGAACCUUACCAGGAUUUGACAUCCAACUAACGAAGUAGAGAUACAUUAGGUGCCCUUCGGGGAAAGUUGAGACAGGUGGUGCAUGGUUGUCGUCAGCUCGUGUCGUGAGAUGUUGGGUUAAGUCCCGCAACGAGCGCAACCCCUAUUGUUAGUUGCUACGCAAGAGCACUCUAGCGAGACUGCCGUUGACAAAACGGAGGAAGGCGGGGACGACGUCAAAUCAUCAUGCCCCUUAUGUCCUGGGCUACACACGUAAUACAAUGGCCGUCAACAAAGGGAAGCAAAGCCGCGAGGUGGAGCAAAUCCCCAAAAACGGUCUCAGUUCGGAGUGCAGGCUGCAACUCGCCUGCAUGAAGCUGGAAUUGCUAGUAAUCGCGGAUCAGCAUGCCGCGGUGAAUACAAUGCCGGGCCUUGCACUCACCGCCCGUCA
rnacentral:rRNA from 1 species